GUAUUAAUACCGCAUACGACCUACGGGAGAAAGGGGGCAGUUUACUGCUCUCGCUAUUAGAUGAGCCUAAGUCGGAUUAGCUAGAUGGUGGGGUAAAGGCCUACCAUGGCGACGAUCUGUAGCUGGUCUGAGAGGAUGAUCAGCCACACCGGGACUGAGACACGGCCCGGACUCCUACGGGAGGCAGCAGUGGGGAAUAUUGGACAAUGGGGGAAACCCUGAUCCAGCCAUGCCGCGUGUGUGAAGAAGGCCUUUUGGUUGUAAAGCACUUUAAGCAGUGAAGAAGACUCCAUGGUUAAUACCCAUGGACGAUGACAUUAGCUGCAGAAUAAGCACCGGCUAACUCUGUGCCAGCAGCCGCGGUAAUACAGAGGGUGCAAGCGUUAAUCGGAAUUACUGGGCGUAAAGGGAGCGUAGGUGGCUCUAUAAGUCAGAUGUGAAAUCCCCGGGCUUAACCUGGGAACUGCAUCUGAAACUGUAGAGCUAGAGUAUGUGAGAGGAAGGUAGAAUUUCCAGGUGUAGCGGUGAAAUGCGUAGAGAUCUUGGAGGANANUNAACNNCGNANUGGGCGAAGGCAGCCNNUUCUGGCAUAAUAACUGAACACUGAGGCUCCGAAAGCGUGGGUAGCAAACAGGANUUAGAUACCCUGGUAGUCCACGCCGUAAANCGANUGUCUACUAGUCGUUGGGNUCCCUUNGAGGNACUUAGUGACGCAGCUNAACGCAAUAANGUAGACCGCCNUGGGGNAGUACGGCCGCAAGGUUAAAANCUCNAAAUGAAUUNGACNGGGGGNCCCNGCACAAGCNGGUGGAGCAUGUGGUUUAAUUCGAUGCAACGCGAAGAACCUUACCUGGUCUUGACAUAUCUAGAAUCCUGCAGAGAUGCGGGAGUGCCUUCGGGAAUUAGAAUACAGGUGCUGCAUGGCUGUCGUCAGCUCGUGUCGUGAGAUGUUGGGUUAAGUCCCGCAACGAGCGCAACCCUUGUCCUUAGUUACCAGCGGGUUAAGCCGGGAACUCUAAGGAUACUGCCAGUGACAAACUGGAGGAAGGCGGGGACGACGUCAAGUCAUCAUGGCCCUUACGACCAGGGCUACACACGUGCUACAAUGGUUAGGUACAGAGGGCAGCUACACAGCGAUGUGAUGCGAAUCUCAAAAAGCCUAUCGUAGUCCCAGAUUGGAGUCUGCAACUCGACUCCAUGAAAGUAAGGAAUCGCUAGUAAUCGCGGGAUCAUAAAUGCCGCGGUGAAUACGUUUUCCCGGGGCCUUGUACACACCCGCCCCGUUCACCACCAUGGGGAGUUGAUUGGCACAGAAAAGUGGGAUUAGCUUAAA
rnacentral:rRNA from 1 species